rnacentral:rRNA from 1 species
UUAUACGGCGAAACUGCGAAUGGCUCAUUAUAUAAGUUAUCGUUUAUUUGAUAGUAUCUUGCUACUUGGAUAACCGUGGUAAUUCUAGAGCUAAUACAUGCUAAAAAUCCCGACUUCGGAAGGGAUGUAUUUAUUAGAUUAAAAACCAAUGCCCUCUGGGCUCUCUUGGUGAAUCAUGAUAACUUCUCGAAUCGCAGGGCCUUGCGCCGGCGAUGGUUCAUUCAAAUUUCUUCCCUAUCAACUUUCGAUGUUUGGGUAGUGGCCAAACAUGGUUGCAACGGGUAACGGAGGGUUAGGGCUCGACCCCGGAGAAGGAGCCUGAGAAACGGCUACUACAUCCAAGGAAGGCAGCAGGCGCGCAAAUUACCCAAUCCCGAUCCGGGGAGGUAGUGACAAUAAAUACUGAUACAGGGCUCUUUUGGGUCUUGUAAUUGGAAUGAGUACAAUUUAAAUCCCUUAACGAGGAACAAUUGGAGGGCAAGUCUGGUGCCAGCAGCCGCGGUAAUUCCAGCUCCAAUAGCGUAUAUUAAAGUUGUUGUGGUUAAAAAGCUCGUAGUUGAACCUUGGGCCUGGCUGGCCGGUCCGCCUCACCGCGUGCACUGGUCCGGCCGGGCCUUUCCCUCUGUGGAACCCCAUGCCCUUCACUGGGUGUGGCGGGGAAACAGGACUUUUACUUUGAAAAAAUUAGAGUGCUCCAGGCAGGCCUAUGCUCGAAUACAUUAGCAUGGAAUAAUGAAAUAGGACGUGCGGUUCUAUUUUGUUGGUUUCUAGGACCGCCGUAAUGAUUAAUAGGGACAGUCGGGGGCAUCAGUAUUCAAUUGUCAGAGGUGAAAUUCUUGGAUUUAUUGAAGACUAACUACUGCGAAAGCAUUUGCCAAGGAUGUUUUCAUUAAUCAGGAACGAAAGUUAGGGGAUCGAAGACGAUCAGAUACCGUCGUAGUCUUAACCAUAAACUAUGCCGACUAGGGAUCGGACGAUGUUAUUUUUUGACUCGUUCGGCACCUUACGAGAAAUCAAAGUGCUUGGGCUCCAGGGGGAGUAUGGUCGCAAGGCUGAAACUUAAAGAAAUUGACGGAAGGGCACCACCAGGGGUAAACCUGACCUGUGAAGCCGCAGUCAACUCUGCUCCAGAAAGCCGCCCGAAAGGGUCGGUGGUGUUCCUAGGGGAGAGCUCUCCCCUAAACUAAUGGCUAGUCCUGCCGCCCGCGGCAGGGCGACACCCUCAAACUGACGGGGAACUCCUAAAGCCCUCGCUCCGGACAGGCGUCGGGAAACCGACGGCCUGCUCACCAGGCUAACGACCUCGGGUAUCGGAAGCAACGCGAGAGGAUGCUACAAUGGACAAUCCGCAGCCAAGCCCCUACGGUGCGGCCUCUACGGGGGUCGCAUACGGGGAAGGUUCAGAGACUUGACGGGGGUGGGUGGCGCGGGCUCUUGGGGUGCAAGCCGCGUGCUUGCUUGCAGGCCCAGGCGCCCGCCGCUGCCUAAGAUAAAGUCCGGGCGUGCGCGAAAGCGUGCGCGGCAACCACGCAACCCGCCGUUUCCAGCGGGUGCGAGGCCCCAGAAGUAAAAACAACCGGGAGCCUGCGGCUUAAUUUGACUCAACACGGGGAAACUCACCAGGUCCAGACACAAUGAGGAUUGACAGAUUGAGAGCUCUUUCUUGAUUUUGUGGGUGGUGGUGCAUGGCCGUUCUUAGUUGGUGGAGUGAUUUGUCUGCUUAAUUGCGAUAACGAACGAGACCUUAACCUGCUAAAUAGCCCGUAUUGCUUUGGCAGUACGCCGGCUUCUUAGA